AAGCAGGAUCAAACAUAGGCCGUG
rnacentral:siRNA from 1 species